rnacentral:rRNA from 1 species
CGUACACUCCUACGGGAGGCAGCAGUGGGGAAUAUUGGACAAUGGGCGCAAGCCUGAUCCAGCCAUGCCGCGUGAGUGAUGAAGGCCCUAGGGUUGUAAAGCUCUUUCACCGGUGAAGAUAAUGACGGUAACCGGAGAAGAAGCCCCGGCUAACUUCGUGCCAGCAGCCGCGGUAAUACGAAGAGGGCUAGCGUUGUUCGGAUUUACUGGGCGUAAAGCGCACGUAGGCGGACUAUUAAGUCAGGGGUGAAAUCCCGGGGCUCAACCCCGGAACUGCCUUUGAUACUGGUAGUCUUGAGUUCGAGAGAGGUGAGUGGAAUUCCGAGUGUAGAGGUGAAAUUCGUAGAUAUUCGGAGGAACACCAGUGGCGAAGGCGGCUCACUGGCUCGAUACUGACGCUGAGGUGCGAAAGCGUGGGGAGCAAACAGGAUUAGAUACCCCGGUAGUCCCAUGAU